UGAACCUGAAGAAACACCUAUUUGACAAGGCUUUCCUAGGAGUUGUGGGCAUUUCCAGGGGUAGUUUUAUGACCCUGGUGGUAGUUUGACCCUUCCUCUGUACCAUGAACCUGAAGAAACACCUAUUUGACAAGGCUUUCCUAGGAGUUGUGGGCAUUUCCAGGGGUAGUUUUAUGACCCUGGUGGUAGUUUGACCCUUCCUCUGUACCAUGAGCCUGAAGAAACACCUAUUUGACAAGGCUUUCCUAGGAGUUGUGGGCAUUUCCAGGGGUAGUUUUAUGACCCUGGUGGUAGUUUGACCCUUCCUCUGUACCAUGAACCUGAAGAAACACCUAUUUGACAAGGCUUUCCUAGGAGUUGUGGGCAUUUCCAGGGGUAGUUUUAUGACCCUGGUGGUAGUUUGACCCUUCCUCUGUACCAUGAACCUGAAGAAACACCUAUUUGACAAGGCU